rnacentral:rRNA from 1 species
UACGGGGGGGGCAAGCGUUGUUCGGAAUUACUGGGCGUAAAGGGCGCGUAGGCGGCCAGACAAAGUCGAGCGUUAAAUUCCAGGGCUUAACCCUGGGCUGUUGCUCGAUACUAGUCGGCUAGAGUGUGGAAGAGGGUGCUGGAAUUCCCGGUGUAGCGGUGAAAUGCGCAGAUAUCGGGAGGAACACCAAUGGCGAAGGCAGCUCGCUGGGACGGUACUGACGCUGAGACGCGAAAGCGUGGGGAGCAAACAGG